rnacentral:rRNA from 1 species
CUUGGCGGGGUGCAAUGUGGUGUUCGGGAGGGGUUACUCGUGCCUCGAGCUCUGCGUCCAAGUCCCCCUGACUGGGGCCAUCGCCCGUUGAGGGUGCAAGGCCUGUUGGGCAGGGCAAAGUCACGGAUCGAGGCGCGUUUAUCCCCUUCCUUGGAGUCGGGUUGCUUGAGAGUGCAGCCCAAAGCGGGUGGUAAACUCCACCUAAGGCUAAAUACUUGCCACGAGACCGAUAGCAAACAAGUACCGUGAGGGAAAGUUGCAAAGAACUUUGAAGAGAGAGUUCAAGAGUGCGUGAAACCGUUUGGAGGUAAACGGGUGAGAGCUCGAAGGUCGAAAGGACGGGGAGGGAUUCAACUUGGCGCGGCCGACGGCGCGCUCGCCGCUGGCGUAGGAUGGCGUCUCCGUCCGGGUUCUGCCCGGGCGAGCGUCGUCCCGCCGGCGGUGCGCGACGGCAGGUCUGUGCUUUGUGCAUUUCCCUGCACCCCCUCUCCUAGUAGGACGCCGCGACCGGCUGUCGAGGGAAGCCCAAAAGCUGGGCGGAGCAGCUGCGCGGACGAUGUGGGACCCGUUCCCCUCGUCCGGUCUGUCUGUCUCCGUCCGCCCGCGGGUCGCUUCCUCCGGCCGAGGAGCUGAGCGGGGAUCCCCUCGUGGGGUCCCCGUCCAUGCGCGUGCCCACGAUUGUUAACGUUGCGGGUCGAAAGAGCCCAACGGACGGCCGCGGGUGUCGGCGCGCCGGUCUUAACGGCCGCGCGUGUCGGCGUCCCUGCGCGCUGUUGUCGGUCAGGGUGCGGACUCCCGCCUUUGAGGGCGCUUGGGGUCAGCGGCGAGUAGGUCGGCUUCUCACCCGACCCGUCUUGAAACACGGACCAAGAAGUCUAGCGCGUGCGCGAGUCUUCGGGGCUGCAGAACCCCCUUGGAAGGCGCAAUGAAAGUGAAGGCUGGGCACUUGUGGCCCGCCUGGGUGGGAUCCCCCGUCUAGCGGCGGGGGCGCACCACCGGCCCGUCCUA